UGGACCGAUUCAGGCAAGAUACCCGGU
rnacentral:rRNA from 1 species